rnacentral:tRNA from 1 species
GCGGGCAUAGUGGAAUUGGUAAACACGUCAGGUUUAGGCCCUGGGGCGAGAGCCGUGCAGGUUCAAGUCCUGCUGCCCGUAC